rnacentral:rRNA from 1 species
GACGAACGCUGGCGGCGUGCUUAACACAUGCAAGUCGAACGGAAAGGCCCUGCGUUUGUGGGGUGCUCGAGUGGCGAACGGGUGAGUAACACGUGAGUAACCUGCCCUUGACUUUGGGAUAACUUCAGGAAACUGGGGCUAAUACCGGAUAGGAGCUCCUGCUGCAUGGUGGGGGUUGGAAAGUUUCGGCGGUUGGGGAUGGACUCGCGGCUUAUCAGCUUGUUGGUGGGGUAGUGGCUUACCAAGGCUUUGACGGGUAGCCGGCCUGAGAGGGUGACCGGCCACAUUGGGCCUGCGAUACGGCCCAGACUCCUACGGGAGGCAGCAGUGGGGAAUCUUGCACAGUGGGCCGAAGCCUGAUGCAGCAACGCCGCGUGCGGGAUGACGGCCUUCGGGUUGUAAACCGCUUUCGCCUGUGACGAAGCGUGAGUGACGGUACUGGGUAAAGAAGCACCGGCUAACUACGUG